CCUACGUGUGGCAGCAGUGAGGAAUAUUGGUCAAUGGCCGGAAGGCUGAACCAGCCAUGCCGCGUGAAGGUCAGUGCCCUAUGGGCGUUAAACUUCUUGUGUGCGGGAGCAAUAAUGGUCACGUGUGGACAGACGAGAGUAACGUACGAAUAAGCAUCGGCUAACUCGGUGCCAGCAGCCGCGGGAAUACGGGGGAUGCAAGCGUUAUCCGGAUGUAUUGGGGUUAAAGGGUGCGUAGGCUGUGAUGUAUGUCAGCGGUGAAAUGCCCCCGCUCAACGGGGUGCAGUGCCAUUGAUACUGCCUUCCUGGAAUGCGGAUGCCGUGGGAUGAAUGUGUGGUGUAGCGGUG
rnacentral:rRNA from 1 species